rnacentral:lncRNA from 1 species
CUUUGAUGUUCAUCUCAGUCAGGCAUGGAGAUCUUGGGGGCUUUGAUGUUCAUCUCAGGCAUCUUGAAUUUAGGGCCCUUUAGUUUCGCAUCUGGACCUUCGAUAUUCACAUCAGGAACAUCAAUGUCCACCUUGGGUCCUGAGACGUCAAGGUCAGCCUUGGGCAGGUUCACAUCCACAUCUGGGCCCUCUCCUUUGAAGCCAGGCAUGCUGAACUUGGGCAUUUUCACCUUGGGCAUCUUCAGGUGCCAGUCUGGGCCUUGAACACCCACAUCUGGGGCAUUAAUAUCCACUUUGGGCCCCUUGAUGUCAACUUCGGGGCCCUUGAGGUCACCUUCC